rnacentral:rRNA from 1 species
UACGUAGGGCGCAAGCGUUAUCCGGAAUUAUUGGGCGUAAAGAGCUCGUAGGCGGUUUGUCGCGUCUGCCGUGAAAGCCCGGGGCUCAACUCCGGAUCUGCGGUGGGUACGGUCAGGCUAGAGUGAUGUAGGGGAGACUGGAAUUCCUGGUGUAGCGGUGAAAUGCGCAGAUAUCGGGAAGAACACCUAUGGCGAAGGCAGCUCUCUGGGACGGUACUGACGCUGAGACGCGAAAGCGUGGGGAGCGAACAGG